AUGGUUAAGUUAGAAAGGGCGCACGGUGGAUGCCUUGGCACUAGGAGCCGAUGAAGGACGGGACGAACACCGAUAUGCUUCGGGGAGCUGUAAGCAAGCUUUGAUCCGGAGAUUUCCGAAUGGGGAAACCCACUGCUCGUAAUGGAGUAGUAUCCAUACUUGAAUACAUAGAGUAUGAGAAGGCAUACCCGGGGAACUGAAACAUCUAAGUACCCGGAGGAAGAGAAAGCAAAUGCGAUUCCCUGAGUAGCGGCGAGCGAAACGGGAACAGCCCAAACCAAGAGGCUUGCCUCUUGGGGUUGUAGGACACUCUAUACGGAGUUACAAAGGAACGAUAUAAGCGAAGAGGUCUGGAAAGGCCCGCCAAAGAAGGUAACAGCCCUGUAACUGAAAUGUUGUUCUCUCCAGAGUGGAUCCUGAGUACGGCGGAACACGUGAAAUUCCGUCGGAAUCCGGGAGGACCAUCUCCCAAGGCUAAAUACUCCCUAGUGACCGAUAGUGAACCAGUACCGUGAGGGAAAGGUGAAAAGCACCCCGGAAGGGGAGUGAAAUAGAUCCUGAAACCGUGUGCCUACAAGUAGUCAGAGCCCGUUAAAGGGUGAUGGCGUGCCUUUUGUAGAAUGAACCGGCGAGUUACGAUCCCGUGCAAGGUUAAGCAGAAGAUGCGGAGCCGCAGCGAAAGCGAGUCUGAAUAGGGCGCAUGAGUACGUGGUCGUAGACCCGAAACCAGGUGAUCUACCCAUGUCCAGGGUGAAGUUCAGGUAACACUGAAUGGAGGCCCGAACCCACGCACGUUGAAAAGUGCGGGGAUGAGGUGUGGGUAGGGGUGAAAUGCCAAUCGAACCUGGAGAUAGCUGGUUCUCUCCGAAAUAGCUUUAGGGCUAGCCUCAAGGUAAGAGUCUCGGAGGUAGAGCACUGAUUGGACUAGGGGCCCCUACCGGGUUACCGAAUUCAGUCAAACUCCGAAUGCCGAUGACUUAUCCUUGGGAGUCAGACUGCGAGUGAUAAGAUCCGUAGUCGAAAGGGAAACAGCCCAGACCGCCAGCUAAGGUCCCAAAGUAUACGUUAAGUGGAAAAGGAUGUGGAGUUGCUUAGACAACCAGGAUGUUGGCUUAGAAGCAGCCACCAUUUAAAGAGUGCGUAAUAGCUCACUGGUCGAGUGACUCUGCGCCGAAAAUGUACCGGGGCUAAACGUAUCACCGAAGCUGCGGACUGUUCUAACGAACAGUGGUAGGAGAGCGUUCUAAGUGCUGUGAAGUCAGACCGGAAGGACUGGUGGAGCGCUUAGAAGUGAGAAUGCCGGUAUGAGUAGCGAAAGACGGGUGAGAAUCCCGUCCACCGAAUGCCUAAGGUUUCCUGAGGAAGGCUCGUCCGCUCAGGGUUAGUCGGGACCUAAGCCGAGGCCGAAAGGCGUAGGCGAUGGACAACAGGUUGAUAUUCCUGUACCACCUCCUCACCAUUUGAGCAAUGGGGGGACGCAGGAGGAUAGGGUAAGCGCGGUAUUGGAUAUCCGCGUCCAAGCAGUUAGGCUGGGAAAUAGGCAAAUCCGUUUCCCGUGAAGGCUGAGCUGUGAUG
rnacentral:rRNA from 1 species